GAUGAACGCUGGCGGCGUGCUUAGCACAUGCAAGUCGAACGGAAAGGCUCCUGCUUGCAGGGGUACUCGAGUGGCGAACGGGUGAGUAACACGUGGGUGAUCUGCCCUGCACUUCGGGAUAAGCCUGGGAAACUGGGUCUAAUACCGGAUAGGACGAUGGUUUGGAUGCCAUUGUGGAAAGUUUUUCGGUGUGGGAUGAGCUCGCGGCCUAUCAGCUUGUUGGUGGGGUAAUGGCCUACCAAGGCGUCGACGGGUAGCCGGCCUGAGAGGGUGUACGGCCACAUUGGGACUGAGAUACGGCCCAGACUCCUACGGGAGGCAGCAGUGGGGAAUAUUGCACAAUGGGCGCAAGCCUGAUGCAGCGACGCCGCGUGGGGGAUGACGGCCUUCGGGUUGUAAACUCCUUUCGCUAGGGACGAAGCGCAAGUGACGGUACCUGGAGAAGAAGCACCGGCUAACUACGUG
rnacentral:rRNA from 1 species